ACAACCUAAGUACGCGGCGUCCUGCCGCAACGGUUGCAUGACCUGCAUCCUGCAG
rnacentral:sRNA from 1 species